rnacentral:rRNA from 1 species
UAGGGAAUCUUCGGCAAUGGGGGGAACCCUGACCGAGCAACGCCGCGUGAGUGAAGAAGGCUUUCGGAUCGUAAAGCUCUGUUGUUAAGGAAGAACGAGUGUGAGAAUGGAAAGUUCAUGCUGUGACGGUACUUAACCAGAAAGGGACGGCUAACUACGUGCCAGCAGCCGCGGUAAUACGUAGGUCCCGAGCGUUGUCCGGAUUUAUUGGGCGUAAAGCGAGCGCAGGCGGUUAGAAAAGUCUGAAGUGAAAGGCAGUGGCUCAACCAUUGUAGGCUUUGGAAACUGUUUAGCUUGAGUGCAGAAGGGGAGAGUGGAAUUCCAUGUGUAACGGUGAAAUGCGUAGAUAUAUGGAGGAACACCGGUGGCGAAAGCGGCUCUCUGGUCUGUAACUGACGCUGAGGCUCGAAAGCGUGGGGAGCGAACAGG